rnacentral:tRNA from 2 species
UCAGGGGUUAGUUUUAUAAAAAUAUCGGUUUUGGAGAUCGAGGAUAGAAAAAUUUUCUACCCCUGAA